CAAGGAUGCAAUUUGAUGAGUACCGUCAAUAGCAAUUACCUGAACACGAUUGAGAAAAAUGAAAUAACAUGCAAAUACAUAGAUUGUAAAAGCAGCCGCAAACGUUUGGACCGUAAAUGUUGCAAAGUUGUUUUCGCAUCGAAUCGUAAACCGUGAAACUUGGACCUAAUAUACUGAAAUUUUCUUCCACUGUUCCGAUCAGGUUCGAGCUUCCGACUGUGAUUUUCUGCAUCAAAGUUGCUGACAUGAACGUACAUACAUACCUAUACAUACCUAUACAUACAUAUGUAUAUUAUGUGUAGAUAAAAGUUCCACUCACGUAUAAUUUGUUUAAGGUAUCUCGCUUCCAUCGCUAAGAAUAGCGUUUCGGCCUUUGGUACUUUAACUCGGUAUUGGAGUCCUUUUUCUGAUCUACCGAGUACUAGAUUCCCUUGUUUCAUAUAGGUAUGAAACUGCUCCAACCUAAUUUAUCCAACGUCAAUUGGCAUGAAGGACAUUAAAAAGAAGAUUGUUCAUUCUACCCGUUUGACUAGCACAGGUUGCAAUGAACGCGUGAGUUACGAACAUGUACUCAAAUCGACGAUCUGAUGUAUUUCUAAUUGUUCCACGUUGCCCAAAAAGUGGCUUCCAGAGAGGGCAUUCAAUUGCGAUCGC